rnacentral:rRNA from 1 species
UACGGAGGGUGCAAGCGUUAUCCGGAUUCACUGGGUUUAAAGGGUGCGUAGGUGGGCUGGUAAGUCAGUGGUGAAAUCUCCAGGCUUAACUUGGAAACUGCCAUUGAUACUAUCAGUCUUGAAUACCGUGGAGGUCAGCGGAAUAUGUCAUGUAGCGGUGAAAUGCUUAGAUAUGACAUAGAACACCAAUUGCGAAGGCAGCUGGCUACACGAAUAUUGACACUGAUGCACGAAAGCGUGGGGAGCAAACUGG